CAGGAUGAACGCUAGCGGAGGGCUUAACACAUGCAAGUCGAGGGGCAGCACGAUGUAGCAAUACAUUGGUGGCGACCGGCGCACGGGUGAGUAACGCGUAUGCAACCUACCCUGUACAGGGGGAUAGCCCGGAGAAAUUCGGAUUAAUACCCCAUAAUGAUAUUGAGAGGCAUCUUUUAAUAUUUAAAGUUUCGACGGUACGGGAUGGGCAUGCGUGACAUUAGCUAGUUGGUAGGGUAACGGCCUACCAAGGCUGCGAUGUCUAGGGGUCCUGAGAGGGUGAUCCCCCACACUGGUACUGAGACACGGACCAGACUCCUACGGGAGGCAGCAGUGAGGAAUAUUGGUCAAUGGACGUAAGUCUGAACCAGCCAUCCCGCGUGCAGGAAGAAGGCGCUAUGCGUCGUAAACUGCUUUUCCAGGGGAAGAAAACCUGAUACGUGUAUCGGCUUGCCGGUACCCUGGGAAUAAGCAUCGGCUAACUCCGUGCCAGCAGCCGCGGUAAUACGGAGGAUGCGAGCGUUAUCCGGAUUUAUUGGGUUUAAAGGGUGCGUAGGCGGAUUAAUAAGUCAGUGGUGAAAACCUUCAGCUUAACUGGAGACUUGCCAUUGAUACUGUUAGUCUUGAGUACGGUCAAGGUAGGCGGAAUGUGUAAUGUAGCGGUGAAAUGCUUAGAUAUUACACAGAACACCGAUUGCGAAGGCAGCUUACUGGGCCAUUACUGACGCUGAUGCACGAAAGCGUGGGGAGCGAACAGGAUUAGAUACCCUGGUAGUCCACGCCGUAAACGAUGAUCACUCGCUGUUAGCGAUACACAGUUAGCGGCUAAGCAAAAGCAUUAAGUGAUCCACCUGGGGAGUACGGCCGCAAGGCUGAAACUCAAAU
rnacentral:rRNA from 1 species